ACCUUAGAUUGAGCAGUCUUCCACUAUUGUAAGUAGAAGCAAUUUAUGCCCUAAUGAAAGCACAUCUGUCUAACAAAAGUCCAUCUAAGGCUAAUAGCCCAUUCAAAAUCCGGCCCAUUAAGUCUUGAUUAGCUUUAAUUCCCGAAGCUUACAUGAUUCAAUGGAUGAAUUGUUAUUCUAGUUUCUACUACGUAGAAGAGCCAAGUUGAGGACGAUCACGGGCAAAAGAGUCAUUUUGCUGUAUUACUCCAACACUCGCUCAACAUAUGUUUAGAAACAUCCGUCUCUUUCAAUUUUCCAGACUUCUGAUGAACUUUAUCUUCACAGCAGGUUACAAUGUUAGAUAUGCAGUUCUUCUUGAAGUCAGAUGUGAAGAGGUGUUGUUUAUGAGGAGCCAAAAAAAGUGCAUUUGGAAUUUGGGGUCGAGGGCAAGAGUUGAUCACUCAUGAACUCAAGAAGAAGAAGAAGGAGCUCAAAAGAAGGACUAAAUAUUGAAUGGGCUAGUGGCAAGAUAUAGAACAGAAGUAAGUGGUGAAAGCUAUGAACACGAUUAUGUAGAGGAAUGCAAGGAAGAGGAGGCGUGGGAGCAAUAGUUCUGACUUUUAUAUUAGAACAUUGUUAUUGAUGAGCCCUUCUUACAUAAAUACAAGGUUAAAAAGCUUUGAUUUAGAGUAUAAGGAGGAGAAGAAAAGAAGACAAAAGAUUUAUUGGAUAGGGAGUGGAAAGGAAGAAAAAACACAUCAAGUUGAGGAUAAUACCAUUGGUGAUACUUCCAAAGGAGACAAACUGAUGGUAAAUCUACGACUACUACAAACUUUGAUUAGAGUACUAAGAGGAGGAGAAAGAAGACGAUGAGUUAUUGAAUAGGGAUUUGGAAAAGAAGAGUAAAACACUCAGGUUGAAGAUGGGUCUGAUGUUAUACCUACCGAUGAUACUUCAGUAGGAGACAAACAAACAUAAAUCCACUUCAAGCGAUGGGACUGCCCUGACAGUUUUUUGCUAACACAGACAAAAGGCAAGGAAUUUUUAAGCAGUUGCUGAAAGUUCUGCUCUAGAUUUAAUUAUAUUGCUUUCAAUUAUCAAUGAUAGUACCAUUUCUCAAGGAAAUUAUGCCCUGUACUUAACUGUAAUUGCUCAAGGUCGUCACAAGUUGUUGAUACCAACUCUUUUCAACUCAGCGUGAAGGAAAGUGUUUCUAUUUUCAAAGCCCUUCAUACAUACAACAAUACAUUCUAAGAGCUAGAAUACAUAGAAUUUUUAUCCAUUCA